UUUUUAGCGUAAGUAUGUUCCAUAAAAUAUCUGGAACAUAAUUAUGCUAAAA
rnacentral:pre_miRNA from 1 species